rnacentral:rRNA from 1 species
AGAAUAUUCCGCAAUGGAGGAAACUCUGACGGAGCGACGCCGCGUGGACGAUGAAGGCCGGAAGGUUGUAAAGUCCUUUUAGAUAUGAGGAAUAAGUAAGGUGAGAGAAACGCCUUAUGGUGACUGUAGUAUCAGAAUAAGGGGCGGCUAAUUACGUGCCAGCAGCCGCGGUAACACGUAAGCCCCGAGCGUUGUUCGGAAUUAUUGGGCGUAAAGGGCAUGUAGGCGGCUUUGCAAGUCUGGUGUGAAAGGCGGGGGCUUAACCCCCGGACUGCGCUGGAAACUGCAUGGCUUGAGUCACUGAGGGGCAACCGGAAUUCCUGGUGUAGGGGUGAAAUCUGUAGAUAUCAGGAAGAACACCGAUGGCGAAGGCAGGUUGCCAGCGGAUGACUGACGCUGAGGUGCGAAGGUGCGGGGAGCAAACA